rnacentral:rRNA from 1 species
GUUUUUUGGGAGAUUUGAAAGGAACACAACGCAAGAGUUUUCCGCAAUACUGCCAUACUCACCAUGGUGAUUCUCGGGAGGAUCAAGGAGGAGGCCUAUUUUUGGGUGUUAACGGGCACGAAACACUUGAAUAAUGUAAUGCCAUGAGAGUAG